AGUGAACGCUGGCGGUAGGCCUAACACAUGCAAGUCGAACGGCAGCACAGUAAGAGCUUGCUCUUACGGGUGGCGAGUGGCGGACGGGUGAGGAAUACAUCGGAAUCUACUUUUUCGUGGGGGAUAACGUAGGGAAACUUACGCUAAUACCGCAUACGACCUACGGGUGAAAGCAGGGGAUCUUCGGACCUUGCGCGAUUGAAUGAGCCGAUGUCGGAUUAGCUAGUUGGCGGGGUAAAGGCCCACCAAGGCGACGAUCCGUAGCUGGUCUGAGAGGAUGAUCAGCCACACUGGAACUGAGACACGGUCCAGACUCCUACGGGAGGCAGCAGUGGGGAAUAUUGGACAAUGGGCGCAAGCCUGAUCCAGCCAUACCGCGUGGGUGAAGAAGGCCUUCGGGUUGUAAAGCCCUGUUGUUGGGGAAGAAAAGCAGCAGGUUAAUACCCCGCUGUUCUGACGGUACCCAAAGAAUAAGCACCGGCUAACUUCGUG
rnacentral:rRNA from 1 species